UACGGAGGGUGCGAGCGUUGUCCGGAAUCACUGGGCGUAAAGGGCGCGUAGGCGGCAUGCCAAGCGUGUGGUGAAAGCCCGGGGCUCAACCCCCGGGGUCGGCCGUGCGGACUGGCGUGCUCGAGCACUGUAGGGGCGGGUGGAAUUCCGGGUGUAGGCGGUGGAAUGCGUAGAGGAUCCGGAAGAACACCGGUGGCGAAGGCGGCCCGACUGG
rnacentral:rRNA from 1 species